rnacentral:lncRNA from 1 species
CAAGGUGUAACAAGCUUAUCUGUCAAAGACAAUGUCCAUUGAAUGAACUGCUUAAUUUGAAAUUGAUUGAGGUCCUUUUUGGUUUAGGUGGGGAAAAACUCCUUUCCGCCGACUUAAUAGAGACUUGGGAAUUUAAAGCUAUGCCAGAAGACAGGUCACCGUGAGAGCAGGCCGAAUCUUUCGCAGUGGAUGAGUCUGUACAAAAGCUGAAGGGACACUGUCUUUCGAGGGUUCAGUGGUAUUGUUGUGUUCUGACGGGUCGUGUGCUGAUCAAGCUCUAGCUUCAUCCCGCUGAUGGACUUCAAGGUCAUUGGUCAUCAGCAUUGACAAAUAAAGCAACGCGGCGCACACGCACAUUUAUUCUUGGCACAGACGCCCACGUUCACUGAAUGCGCAGACAUAAAACGGUGAAGCAGCGGAUCAAUAGCCAGCUUGUGUCCCUGACUUCAUGGAAGGCAGCAGAAAAGCAGAGAUAUUUUGCAAGAUGGGCCGGGAUAAUGCUGGGCAAGUUUAAAAUGGAACAAAAGGAACGCAGCCACUCCAAUACUUGAUCAUUAGAUGUAUGAAAUCCAAUUCCUCUCCUGUAUGCUAAU